AGUGAACGCUGGCGGCAGGCCUAAUACAUGCAAGUCGGACGGCAGCACAGCAGAGCUUGCUCUGUGGGUGGCGAGUGGCGGACGGGUGAGGAAUACAUGGGAAUCUGCCCAGUCGUGGGGGAUAACGUAUGGAAACGUACGCUAAUACCGCAUGCGCCCUUAGGGGGAAAGCCGGGGACCGAAAGGCCUGGCGCGAUUGGAUGAGCCCAUGUUCGAUUAGCUAGUUGGCGGGGUAAAGGCCCACCAAGGC
rnacentral:rRNA from 1 species